GAAAUAGAACCUGAAACCCUGCACUUACAAGCUGUGGAAGCACAUUUCUUGUGUGACCGCGUACUUUUUGUAGAACGGGCCAACGAGUUACGUUAAGUAGCAAGGUUAAGCACUUAAGGUGUGGAGCCGUAGCGAAAGCGAGUUUUAACUGAGCGUUCAGUUACUUGACGUAGACCCGAAACCGGGCGACCUACCCAUGAGCAGGAUGAAGCGAAAGUAAAAUUUCG
rnacentral:rRNA from 1 species